UCGGUACGCGCGGAUCUUCCAGAGAUUAGAGUUUGAUCCUGGCUCAGAUUGAACGCUGGCGGCAGGCCUAACACAUGCAAGUCGAACGGUAACAGGAAGAAGCUUGCUUCUUUGCUGACGAGUGGCGGACGGGUGAGUAAUGUCUGGGAAACUGCCUGAUGGAGGGGGAUAACUACUGGAAACGGUAGCUAAUACCGCAUAACGUCGCAAGACCAAAGAGGGGGACCUUCGGGCCUCUUGCCAUCGGAUGUGCCCAGAUGGGAUUAGCUAGUAGGUGGGGUAACGGCUCACCUAGGCGACGAUCCCUAGCUGGUCUGAGAGGAUGACCAGCCACACUGGAACUGAGACACGGUCCAGACUCCUACGGGAGGCAGCAGUGGGGAAUAUUGCACAAUGGGCGCAAGCCUGAUGCAGCCAUGCCGCGUGUAUGAAGAAGGCCUUCGGGUUGUAAAGUACUUUCAGCGGGGAGGAAGGGAGUAAAGUUAAUACCUUUGCUCAUUGACGUUACCCGCAGAAGAAGCACCGGCUAACUCCGUGCCAGCAGCCGCGGUAAUACGGAGGGUGCAAGCGUUAAUCGGAAUUACUGGGCGUAAAGCGCACG
rnacentral:rRNA from 1 species